GAUGAACGCUGGCGGCGUGCCUAAUACAUGCAAGUCGAGCGAACAGACGAGGAGCUUGCUCCUCUGACGUUAGCGGCGGACGGGUGAGUAACACGUGGAUAACCUACCUAUAAGACUGGGAUAACUUCGGGAAACCGGAGCUAAUACCGGAUAAUAUUUUGAACCGCAUGGUUCAAUAGUGAAAGACGGUUUUGCUGUCACUUAUAGAUGGAUCCGCGCUGCAUUAGCUAGUUGGUAAGGUAACGGCUUACCAAGGCGACGAUGCGUAGCCGACCUGAGAGGGUGAUCGGCCACACUGGAACUGAGACACGGUCCAGACUCCUACGGGAGGAAGCAGUAGGGAAUCUUCCGCAAUGGGCGAAAGCCUGACGGAGCAACGCCGCGUGAGUGAUGAAGGUCUUCGGAUCGUAAAACUCUGUUAUUAGGGAAGAACAAAUGUGUAAGUAACUAUGCACGUCUUGACGGUACCUAAUCAGAAAGCCACGGCUAACUACGUG
rnacentral:rRNA from 1 species